CUACGUGCCAGCAGCCGCGGUAAUACGUAGGUGGCAAGCGUUGUCCGGAAUUAUUGGGCGUAAAGCGCGCGCAGGCGGAUUGGUCAGUCUGUCUUAAAAGUUCGGGGCUUAACCCCGUGAUGGGAUGGAAACUGCCAAUCUAGAGUAUCGGAGAGGAAAGUGGAAUUCCUAGUGUAGCGGUGAAAUGCGUAGAUAUUAGGAAGAACACCAGUGGCGAAGGCGACUUUCUGGACGAAAACUGACGCUGAGGCGCGAAAGCCAGGGGAGCGAACGGGAUUAGAUACCCCGGUAGUCCUGGCCGUAAACGAUGGGUACUAGGUGUAGGAGGUAUCGACCCCUUCUGUGCCGGAGUUAACGCAAUAAGUACCCCGCCUGGGGAGUACGACCGCAAGGUUGAAACUCAAAGGAAUUGACGGGGGCCCGCACAAGCGGUGGAGUAUGUGGUUUAAUUCGACGCAACGCGAAGAACCUUACCAGGCCUUGACAUCCCUUGCAAAGCUGUAGAGAUA
rnacentral:rRNA from 1 species